GGAGCGGUGGCAGAGAGGUCGAUUGCGGCGGUCUUGAAAACCGUUGAACCGAAAGGUUCCGUGGGUUCGAAUCCCACCCGCUCCGCCA
rnacentral:tRNA from 1 species